GGGAAUAUUGGACAAUGGGCCACGAGCCUGAUCCAGCAAUUCUGUGUGGACGAUGAAGGUUUUCGGAUUGUAAAGUCCUUUCAGUAGGGAAGAAAAAAAUGACGAUACCUACAGAAGAAGCACCGGCUAAUUAUGUGCCAGCAGCCGCGGUAAGACAUAAGGUGCGAGCGUUAUCCGGAAUCACUGGGCGUAAAGGGCAUCUAGGCGGUUUAUUAAGUCAGGGGUGAAAAGCCGAAGCUCAACUUUGGUCUUGCCUUUGAAACUGAUAGACUAGAAUACGGGAUAGGGGGGCGGAACUACAAGUGUAGAGGUGAAAUUCGUAGAUAUUUGUAGGAAUGCCGAUGACGAAGGUAGCUCUCUGGACCGAUAUUGACGCUGAAGUGCGAAAGCUAGGGUAGCAAAC
rnacentral:rRNA from 1 species